rnacentral:rRNA from 1 species
CUACGGGGCGCUGCAGUGAGGAAUAUUGCACAAUGGGGGGAACCCUGAUGCAGCAACGCCGCGUGGAGGAUGACGCAUUUCGGUGUGUAAACUCCUUUUAUAUGUCAAGAAAAUGACGGUAGCAUAUGAAUAAGCACCGGCUAACUCCGUGCCAGCAGCCGCGGUAAUACGGAGGGUGCAAGCGUUACUCGGAAUCACUGGGCGUAAAGGACGCGUAGGCGGGUUGGAAAGUCAGGUGUGAAAUCCUACAGCUUAACUGUAGAACUGCACUUGAAACUUCUAAUAUAGAGUAUGGGAGGGGGAGAUGGGAUUAGUGGUGUAGGGGUAAAAUCCGUAGAUAUCACUAGGAAUACCUAAAGCGAAGGCGAUCUCCUGGAACAUUACUGACGCUAAGGCGUGAAAGCGUGGGGAGCAAACGGGAUUAGAUACCCCCGUAGUC